AUACGUAGGUGGCGAGCGUUAUCCGGAAUUACUGGGUGUAAAGGGCGCGUAGGCGGGCGUGCAAGUCAGAUGUGAAAUACAUGGGCUCAACCCAUGGGCUGCAUUUGAAACUGCAUUUCUUGAGUGAAGUAGAGGUAAGCGGAAUUCCUGGUGUAGCGGUGAAAUGCGUAGAUAUCAGGAGGAACACCGGUGGCGAAGGCGGCUUACUGGGCUUAUACUGACUCUGAGGCACGAAUGCGUGGGUAGCAAACAGGAUUAUAUAACCUGGUAGUCCACGCUGUAAACGAUGAUUACUAGGUGUGUGGGGACUGACCCCUUCCGUGCCGCAGUUAACACAAUAAGUAAUCCACCUGGGGAGUACGGCCGCAAGGUUGAAACUCAAAGGAAUUGACGGGG
rnacentral:rRNA from 1 species